CCUACGGGGGGCAGCAGUGGGGAAUAUUGGACAAUGGGCGAAAGCCUGAUCCAGCCAUGCCCCGUGUGUGAAGAAGGCCUUCGGGUUGUAAAGCACUUUCAGUGGGGAAGAAAGCCUUGGGGCUAAUACCCUCGAGGAAGGACAUCACCCACAGAAGAAGCACCGGCUAACUCCGUGCCAGCAGCCGCGGUAAUACGGAGGGUGCGAGCGUUAAUCGGAAUUACUGGGCGUAAAGCGCGCGUAGGCGGUCUGAUAAGCCGGUUGUGAAAGCCCCGGGCUCAACCUGGGAACGGCAUCCGGAACUGUCAGGCUAGAGUGCAGGAGAGGAAGGUAGAAUUCCCGGUGUAGCGGUGAAAUGCGUAGAGAUCGGGAGGAAUACCAGUGGCGAAGGCGGUCUUCUGGACUGACACUGACGCUGAGGUGCGAAAGCGUGGGUAGCAAACAGGAUUAGAUACCCGAGUAGUC
rnacentral:rRNA from 1 species